rfam:Schistosoma haematobium scaffold908_31, whole genome shotgun sequence.
GCACCGCUGAGGAGUCCCGCAAUAAGACGAAACGGUCGUCCGGUGC